rnacentral:rRNA from 1 species
UACGUAGGGGGCAAGCGUUGUCCGGAUUCAUUGGGCGUAAAGAGCGUGUAGGCGGCCAGGUAGGUCGGUUGUGAAAAACUGGAGGCUCAACCUUCAGAGGUCGACCGAAACCAUCUGGCUAGAGUCCGGGAGAGGAGGACUGGAAUUCCUGGUGUAGCGGUGAAAUGACGCAGAUAUCAGGAGGAACACCAGUGGCGAAGGCGGCUUACUGGUCCGGUUCUGACGCUGAGGCGCGAAAGCGUGGGGAGCAAAGCAGG